GACCAUAAACACUAAAACAGUCAUACAUCUGAUGGAGAUGGUGUUGGAGGGAAACUCAAAGGAUGCAGCUUUGAGAAAACACAUACUCUAUGCUAAUCUCUCUCUAAUUUAUGCUUUCAUCUUUCAAGUAAAUCCAUACUCCCUAACAGCAGUGUCCAGUUGUUACGGCACCCUCAGCAUAAAAGGGUUACACCGCCGUUUAGAAGAUCUUCCCCUUCCAGAGAUGCAGGCUCAGCUACUGCAGAACAUCAAUCCGCCGAACAGGAAACCAUACAAAUGCUGUAAACAGCCGAAUAGGAAAAACCAUACGAAUAGGUUUACACUCCUAGCAGUCAAACUGGAACAGCAUACAAUAAAUCCCCCCAAGAAUGAGACAAAGCUCUGUGUUGAGGGUCAAGCAGUGAACAGACAGAGCUGUGGGUUUAUUGUGCUUAUGUACACAUUCUUACACAUUAGUACCACCCACAGGG